GUUUGAUCCUGGCUCAGGACGAACGCUGGCGGCAAGCCUAACACAUGCAAGUCGAACGGACAAUUAUUUAUAGCUUUUGGCUAUAGGCAAUUGUUAGUGGCAGACGGGUGAGUAAUGCGUAGGAAUCUACCUAGUAGUACGGAAUAGCCAUUAGAAAUGAUGGGUAAUACUGUAUAAUCCCCGCGGGGGAAAGAUUUAUCGCUAUUAGAUGAGCCUACGUUAGAUUAGCUAGUUGGUAAGGUAAUGGCUUACCAAGGCUAUGAUCUAUAGCUGGUCUGAGAGGACGAUCAGCCACACUGGAACUGAGAUACGGUCCAGACUCCUACGGGAGGCAGCAGUGGGGAAUAUUGGACAAUGGGCGAAAGCCUGAUCCAGCUAUGCCGCGUGAGUGAAGAAGGCCUUCGGGUUGUAAAACUCUUUCAAUAGGGAAGAUAAUGACGGUACCUAUAGAAGAAGUCCCGGCAAACUCUGUGCCAGCAGCCGCGGUAAUACGGAGGGGGCAAGCGUUGUUCGGAAUUAUUGGGCGUAAAGGGCACGUAGGUGGACUAGUAAGUUAAAAGUGAAAUACCAAAGCUUAACUUUGGAGCGGCUUUUAAUACUGCUAGACUAGAGGUCGAAAGAG
rnacentral:rRNA from 1 species